AGUGAACGCUGGCGGUAGGCCUAACACAUGCAAGUCGAACGGCAGCACAGUAAGAGCUUGCUCUUACGGGUGGCGAGUGGCGGACGGGUGAGGAAUACAUCGGAAUCUACUUUUUCGUGGGGGAUAACGUAGGGAAACUUACGCUAAUACCGCAUACGACCUACGGGUGAAAGCAGGGGAUCUUCGGACCUUGCGCGAUUGAAUGAGCCGAUGUCGGAUUAGCUAGUUGGCGGGGUAAAGGCCCACCAAGGCGACGAUCCGUAGCUGGUCUGAGAGGAUGAUCAGCCCCACUGGAACUGAGACACGGUCCAGACUCCUACGGGAGGCAGCAGUGGGGAAUAUUGGACAAUGGGCGCAAGCCUGAUCCAGCCAUACCGCGUGGGUGAAGAAGGCCUUCGGGUUGUAAAGCCCUUUUGUUGGGAAAGAAAAGCAGCAGGUUAAUACCCCGCUGUUCUACGGUACCCAAAGAAUAAGCACCGGCUAACUUCGUG
rnacentral:rRNA from 1 species